UGGGGAAUAUUGCACAAUGGGCGCAAGCCUGAUGCAGCCAUGCCGCGUGUGUGAAGAAGGCCUUCGGGUUGUAAAGCACUUUCAGCGAGGAGGAAGGGUAGUGUGUUAAUAGCACAUUGCAUUGACGUUACUCGCAGAAGAAGCACCGGCUAACUCCGUGCCAGCAGCCGCGGUAAUACGGAGGGUGCAAGCGUUAAUCGGAAUUACUGGGCGUAAAGCGCACGCAGGCGGUUUGUUAAGUCAGAUGUGAAAUCCCCGCGCUUAACGUGGGAACUGCAUUUGAAACUGGCAAGCUAGAGUCUUGUAGAGGGGGGUAGAAUUCCAGGUGUAGCGGUGAAAUGCGUAGAGAUCUGGAGGAAUACCGGUGGCGAAGGCGGCCCCCCUGGACAAAAGACUGACGCUCAGGUGCGAAAAGCGUGGGGAGCAAAACAGGAUUAGAUACCCUGGUAGUCCACGCUGUAAAACGAUGUCGACUUGGAGGUUGUGCCCUUGAGGCGUGGCUUCCGGAGCUAACGCGUU
rnacentral:rRNA from 1 species